UACGUAGGAUCCGAGCGUUGUCCGGAUUUACUGGGUGUAAAGGGUGCGCAGGCGGGCUGGUGAGUCUGGGGUGAAAUCUCGCCGCUUAACGGCGAAACUGCCUUAGAUACUAUCAGUCUUGAAUCAGCGAGAGGUUCGUGGAACUCCGAGUGUAGCAGUGAAAUGUGUAGAUAUUCGGAAGAACACCAGUGGCGAAGGCAGCGAACUGGCGCUCGAUUGACGCUCAGGCACGAAAGCAUGGGGAUCAAACAGG
rnacentral:rRNA from 1 species